GGGUGCCAGCGGGGAGACCGAUUCUUUCGCCUUCUCUGGCAUGCUGGUUGCGCGGUGUGGCGGGUCGUGUCGCCCUACCAGGGUCCCGGGCUGCCGGGUGCGCCACGUGGUGCGCACGUGGUCCGGUCCCAGCGCUGCGCCUCCCUUCCCCCCGCGGCGCCGGCGGCCAGCGACGCCCCCAGGUGGCGGCCCCGCGCCCUGCACUGCACGUCGCGCCUGCGCACAAUGCGUCACGACGCGCCUUCCGGUCUGAGCGCGAGCGGGGCGUGGGUCGGUUACGUCCUCGCGACAGCUGCGCUUCCGCCCAUCCCGGGGUCCCGGACGGGGGCGGUACGACCCGCCCAAGGUCGCGCCCGCGGCGCCCGCGCCGGGCUGGCCCUGGGAUCCCGCGGCAGGCGGGGCGGGGCCUCCGGCGUCCACGUGGCCCCGGAGGCGGAGCUCUGGGCUCGCCGCCAGCAGCCUGAGUCCCCGUUGCUGUGCGGCGGCCGCGGGGGCGCUCCCCGGUGCCCCGUGCGAGGUGAAUGCGAGCCGGGCGGCGCUGGCGGGUGGCCGAGAGAGUGGAGCAGUGACGUGUCCAGCUUCUACCGUCAGCUGCGGGGCGCACGCUGAGCACAGGGCUGUGCGGCCCCCUAGUAGGGCUGUUCGACUCGCCUUUGAUUUUAUACCCCAUUGAUGCCAGAAAGAUAGGACGAGGCUGCCGGCCUGAGAAAGCAAACUCCCCACCCCCCACCCCCGAUUUUUUUUUUUUUCUUCCUUUUUGUCAUUUUCUCGGAAAGGCUCACAAUUGCUUUGCCCUGUCAAAGUCAGUAUUCCGCUGGAGCUUGCGUGCUUCGGCAACAUCUAAAAUGCCUGUGUGCCAGGCGCUGCUCUGGGCUCUGAGGGGCCUGGGUCACCCGUGGGAAAGAGGCGACUCUAAACCUGGCCGAGUUACCUGGGGAAGCCAGGACGGGCUCACGAUGAAGGUCAGGCCAUGGGACUGUAGGCGUGCCUCAGUUUAUUAGGAAUGUCGCUGAUACCAAGCAAGGGCAGCGCCCCUCUAUAUGAUAAACCAAAGUCUCGUUUCUAAACCUCUCAGAGCCCACUGAUGCUCGGAGAACGCUUUUACUUGCUUUCGCUGGACUCUUGUACCCUGGCCAACCCCUAGUUGAAAUUCUCCCCCGAUCUGGCAGAUUCAGUUGCCUCCCAACCUACUAUUUUCCCAACGAACUUGUCAGUCAAUGUAAUCCCGGGUAUGAACACGGCUGAUGUUACAUUAAUAAGUAAGACAGGAAGGAAGCCAAAGAGACGUGGGAAUUUCAUUAGUGCUGUGAACAACUGCUUUGCCAAAUUCGAUGGUGGCUUCCAAAUACAGUUUUCCCUCAACGUUUUGUGCUGUUUACUAGAUAAGGGCUACAGACUUGACACAAAGUUAAGUUUAAAUACAUUGUUAAUUUUCUCUAUUACUUGAAGUCUAGACUAGGGGUUGGGUCAGAUGGCAAAUACUUUAGACUCUGCCAGGCACAUGCAAUCUCUGCAGCAUAGUCUUUGUUUUGUCUACCACGCUUUUCAACCUCCAAGCUCUGAACUAUAACAUUUCUAGAUUCCGCCAAUAUAAAUAUUCCUCUGGUGGCCGAUUUCAAGCAGCCGACAUGGAGUGUCUGAGGGCAGGGUUGAGAAUGCUACUUCCAGCAUAGGCAUCGGAUAGAUGUAGAUAAUCUGGAGAGCAUAGGUCAUGGUAGGAUAAUUGGGAAGUAAUGGAUUUUGAAACCUUGUUGUCAAUAGCACCGAUUUCACUGUAAACUUACCUAUUUAACUUUUGAUAGUACCUGUUCAACAGCAAGCCCAAAGGAUGCCUGAAGAUUUAACAUUUGGUUAUCGUGAGCCGGUUCCGGCUCGGCAAUGGUCUUACCCCUAAGUGGAGACGGGAGUGGGAUGACUGGAGACGGACAUUGUAGCUGGCCUUGCAGGAGCGAACAGCCAAGUGAACAGCCCCCGGAGAGGACCACGUGGCCGGGGACUGUGGGCAGCCUCCAGAACCUGAGGGUGGCCUCCCGCCGGCAACCAGGAAGAAGCUGGGGCCCUCGGUCCUGCAGUCACAAGGAUACGCAUCUCCCAGUGACCUGAAUGAGCUUGAAAGAGUCGCAUCUCCAGACGAGAGCAAAGGUCAGCCUGUCCCUGGAUCAUAGACCCUGGAGACACUGAGCCGGACCCAGCUAUAGCCAAGCCCCAGCUCCUGCCCCACGGAAGUGGAGACACACCAAGGCCAAACAGCAAGCUGUCACUGACCGAGACGAGUCUUCAUUUCCAAGGGAGCAGGCCUGAUAUCUGUGGGCCAGCGUUCGGAUUCUCCUGUCGCAGAGAGAAAUGGCUUUUUCCGUCCAGAUGCUGCGGCCCCUAUCAGGCAUGAGGACCAACAGUCUAAGAUUUUUACACCUCUGAACGGAAGCACGUUCUUUUUCAUAAAUAUUUUUUUUUAAGAUUUUAUUUAUUUAUUCAACAGGCAGAGAUCACAGGUGGGCAGAGAGGCAGGCAGAGAGGGCGUGGGGGGGGGGGGGUAGCAGGCUCCCCGCGGAGCAGAGAGCCCGAUGCGGGGCUCGAUCCCAGGACCCUGAGAUCAUGACCUGAGCCGAAGGCAGAGGCUUUCACCCACUGAGCCAAAAGGGGAAAAAAAUUGGCUCUAAGAAUAGUGGCAUGCCGUCCGUUUGUGUGAGGACGGAAGACCAUCCUUUUAAAACCAGUGUAUCUUAUUAGCUUGGAAAAUCAUUUGGAUACAGACAACGAAUUCACUGGAAAGGCAUCAACCUUCACCCGGCAAUACAGGGAACACGCUUUGAAGUGUAGAAUUUGGCCCGGCUCGGAUACAGUGGUUGUCUUGUGGGUCUGAACCAGGUUUGGUACAGAGGAUAGGAAUGAUGCGGGGUCGGUGGGGAGGGGGACUAGCGUCGUCGUCACGCAGCGUGAUCAGUGGAUUGCUUCAGCUCAGGAGGGCAGAUGCUCGACUCGCAAAAAUAAUAAACGUGAGAAACAGAUCACGUGGCUUGAUUUGAUAUCGGCAAGGCCUCCUCACUCCUUAAAGGUUACUGGAAUUAAAUGAGUGGACGGUAUCCGUGUUCGGGGUGUAGAUAGACCAGCCUCGUGGGCAAAUCAGGGGGAGUCUUACUAGGGGAGUUGGAAAGUUCUUCUGCAGCCUCGCUGUUGUGAGGUGGUUGUUUCUUGUGUUUUUUUUUUUUUAAUUAAAAAAAUGACAGUCAUAAUAAAGAUGAUUAUGGUAAUGGCUCUCCAGUGCUGCUUAAGGAUCCAUCAGACCAGUUAAGGGAGGAGAUUUAAGGUGCAGCAGGGGGGCAGCUCACUGUUAGGAAGGGCUCGGGCACUUGAUGGCUCAUCUUUUUGAAAAAUGCCACUAAUAAUUAGAGAGUUUGAUAUUCCGCUUUAUGGUUUGUAGCACAAAUCAAUGCUCCGGAAUCCCCCCUGGGUCCCCCCCCCCCCAUACACACAAAUCAGACACGUUCCUCCCACCCCUUCCUCGAUACAGGCUUUCUCCCCACCUCCCCCCGCCCGCCCCCCAGCUGAAGAAGAGACCAGCAGGCGGCGGAGCCUCGGACUUACCUGCACCAGGCAGCAGAGACAGCAGUGAGUACUGUGAACACUUAGGUUCUCUGCUCCCCGCUCCCCCGCACCCGGUGAUAGUCCUUCCGGAGCACAGAUUUAUGCUGUUCUGCCAAAAGUCACUGAUCGAUGCAUGCGCUCUGUGGUUCAAAUGAUGUCAGCUAAGAACUUUUAAUAACGUGGGGGAAAUACCACGUACAGGGAAGUGACUCAAAACAGGUAAGCCAGGAGGCAGAACAUGCGGGCGCGCACACAGGGCUGGCGGGGGCGGCGCGGGCCCGUGCGCACUCAGGGAAAUGCGCUCACCUGUUGGAAAGUAGUCCGUGGUGAGAUGAGGCCUGCGACUCAUCUCUUUUUUUGUAAAUCCUUCGUCAUUUUCUCCAACGAACAUACGUUGCGUUUCUAAGCAGGAGAAGUGUCCUUUCUUACGAUGAACUAGAACAGCCACGGGAAAGGCUCUCCGGUAUUCCUACCCACCCAGCCCCCUCCAUGCCCCCUUUCUCUGAUGAUUGAUUUCUGUGGCCCAUUCAGGCCCCCUUCACUCCACUCCUGCCGUGCUGGCUUGUUGCUUGGUAACAAUCAUUUUUACUGAUUGCCGGCUUCUCGUCCGCACUCGUUAGCGAGGCUGCGUUGCGGUGCCAUCUGCUGCGAAAGGGUCUUCUGUCUAGGGCGGUCAACCAGACCAUCCAUCUCGUCUUCUCGGUUAUCAUACCUUCCACCUUAUGAGGCGUGAGGGCUGCUGCCAGCUUCCCAAAACAUUGCAUUUCGUUAACCUCCCCGCCAGAGUAGCAGCUUGCAGGUUCCAGGGCCCUAGUUUUCACUUCCACACCCAGGCGUGAAAUCUCUCCUCUUCAGCUGCCCCCCAUGGGGCCGCUGGUUCUCAGCAUGUGUUCUCUGCCCUUCUGUGGGAGGUGCAUUCUGGCUGCCUCCCUAGCAGCCCCUUCCCUACCCCCCCUUUUCCUGCCCAGAGAACUCCACUUUUGUCCAGAUACCUACCCCCCUCUCCACUGCAGGAGCAGUGGGGCCCCGCUCGAAAGAGAGCAUCACGACUGAGCUAAAAAAAAGCGUGGUGGUGGGUCCCGCAGCCCUUGCCAGGCCGUAGUUUGGGCACAGGUACGGAGGGUAAUUUUGGCCAACAAGACAUGAAGGGAGGCGCGCCUGGGUGGCUCAGUGGGUUAAAGCCUCUGCCUUCGGCUCAGGUCAUGAUCCCAGGGUCCUGGGAUCGAAUCCCGCAUCGGGCUCUCUGCUCAGCAGGGAGCCUGCUUCCUCCUC